rnacentral:tRNA from 1 species
AAAAUCCGUCGACUUUAGAAAUCGUCCCCA